AAUGAUAGCUAACACCUAUAUUCAAAAUUCGUGACAAUACAUUCAGAAAGAGAAAUAAGAAAGAAGAAAAAUCUACUUAAUUUCCCUAGUCGCUCAAGGUCGUAGUUGUAAAAGACAUUUAAAUUAGAGGCGUACGACUCCGGAUCCGCGGCGGGCAAUUCUUCUUAUCGAAAUAAACCUUCUGGCUAUUAUACAGGGACUUGUUACCUUAUAUCUAUACUAAGAACCCAAGUAAUGUCAGAGCCCUCGUCUUAAGCACAAAAUUUUCAUCUAAUUUUCAAAUAAAUACUAUGUAUUUGAGUGACUAAUUGUAUUGGUCAUCUGGCUUGCAGUUGAUAUUUGAAUAAUAGUUAAGCUAGCACUACGCAAGAUCUAUAAACGCAACAUUAAAUUUCCAAUUGCUAAGUUUUAUAUG